AGCGAACGCUGGCGGCAGGCCUAAAACAUGCAAGUCGAACGCCCGUAGCAGUACGGGAGUGGCAGACGGGUGAGUAACACGUGGGAACGUGCCCUUUGGUUCGGAACAACACAGGGAAACUUGUGCUAAUACCGGAUAAGCCCUUACGGGGAAAGAUUUAUCGCCAGAGGAUCGGCCCGCGUCUGAUUAGCUAGUUGGUGAGGUAACGGCUCACCAAGGCUACGAUCAGUAGCUGGCUGAGAGGAUGAUCAGCCACACUGGGACUGAGACACGGCCCAGACUCCUACGGGAGGCAGCAGUUAGGAAUCUUGGACAAUGGGCGCAAGCCUGAUCCAGCCAUGCCGCGUGAGUGAUGAAGGCCUUAGGGUUGUAAAGCUCUUUCAGCUCCGACGAAGCGAGNGUGACGGUAGGAGCAGAAGAAGCACCGGCCAACUACGUGCCAGCAGCCGC
rnacentral:rRNA from 1 species